UAGCUCAGUUGGUAGAGCAUGGUGUUUGCAAUGCCAGGGUUGUAGGUUCGAUUCCCAU
rnacentral:tRNA from 1 species